GGAAUAUUUGCAAUCAUUUCCUGAUAGGCAAAUUCAUCUUUUUCAGAACACUGAAUUAGCCCAUCCAAGACCAGAACAUUUCCAAACCUCUUGCUAAAAAAGAAAAUGACUUUAUGCAGUCAAUAUUCAGUUAUUAUAUGACUACCAUGUGUGCCACAACCUUAUUUUCUGUAAUCUGAAAAUGACCACACUAAUUUGAAGAUAAAACAGAAACAAGGUAUAGAAUUUAGGAGACCUGUUUGGUGAGGCUGUCAAUCAAUGAUACAUGAAUAAAUGAGCCAUUUUCAAAAUGGCUGCCCUGCUAGAAGCCUGUCAGAAGUAAAAAGUAGUGACUGAAUUCCUGAAGGAGAAAUUCUUGUAAGCAUUUACAAAAGACUGAAAAAUGUUUACAAAUAUAAAACUUUAAACUAGAGCAAUAAGUGGAGGUGGGCACACUGCCUUAAUGACAAUUCCAACAGACCAAAAAAGAUUUUCAUUUUAAGAAGGAAGAGCCAUUUGGUUUUUACAAUAAUGAAUCAUAAGAGAAAACUACUAAUGAAACUGGAGAUAUCAGGUCUGGACCUGAAUAAAGUGUCUUCUGGAUAGGCACAUUAUCAAAAACUGAAAAUGACUCAAAUAAAACAUUAAUCUUGCAAAUUGUCGACAUGCUUUGUAGUGACUGAUCGUCAACUGUCAAACUUGUCAACAAGGAAAAAGCAGAUGCUUUAAUUAAAGCCGGUAAAUGCAUAACCAUUGAUGAGCUGGCAUCAGAACUUGGAGUUAGCCAUGAUAGUUCUCAAGACAUUAUUGAGUCACUUGGAUAUUGAAAAGUGUGGUCAAUGAGAGGGUAAUUGUUGCACUGUGCUCCUUGAACUUAGCAAAAGACAGAACCUUCUUCAAAGGCUCAUAACAAGUGGUGAAACUUGGAUUCAUCAUUGUAAACCUGAAUCAAAAAGACAAUCAAUGGAAUUGUAUCAUCCAGUGUCUCUAAAGACAAGAAAGUUCAAAGCAGAAAGUCAACUGGAAAAAUCAUGGUGGCUAUCUCUUGGGAUGCUCAAGGUGUUAUUCUUAUCGAGAAGAGAAACAGAUAACUUUAAAAGCAGACAUUGAGAUCCUUAAAAGACUUAGAGCAAGAAUUUACUGUGCAAGAUAUGGAGACAGAUAAAAUGCUUCAACACGGCAAACCUCAGAACAAGGGAGGCAAUCACUUCUUUUGGGUGGACAUCUCUGUCACAUCCUCCUUACUCGACUUAUCACUCUCAGAUUCCCAUUGAACCAGAGAUGCGAAUCUGAGAGUGUUAACUUGAGAGGGGAGGGCGUGCAGGAAAGAUCAAGGAAUGGACCCUAAAUUUUUCACUUGGUUCAAUAUUAACUCUCAUCUACAUAAUACAUACCUCUGUACAUAGAAGCUUUUUCAGACCACCCUAGUUAUUCACCUACUCCUAGCUUUCUUAAUACCUACCAGAUCAUUAGAAUGAGGGGCUCUGUUGCAGGCCUUCUCUUGGUCUAUAAUUGCUGUGUAUAGAGAGAUUUACUUCUAGCUAAGUAUUUCUCUUGCAGUUAUCUCAUUAGAAAGAUAUCAUCAAUGGUACCACUUCUUCAUACAAAUUUAUACCAUUUCUAAUCAAUUUUGCAAAAGCUUUUUCUGUAAUUUCCAUGAUGUAUCUUACAAUUUGAUACCCUUGUUAUUUCCUCCCUCUAAUGCAUUAUCUCUCCUGUUGUAACAAUUUACUAUAAUUCUGCUAACUGGUCUCUCUGUUGGGUCUACUUGGAGUAGACUCUCUCUCUCCCAUGCAUCGUCUUCUCAUUGUCGCACACUCAUGCCUCUUUCCUGCACACGUUUUACAGUGUGACAACUAGAGAUGCAAAGUAUUCAGAAUAAAAAGACAGAAUAUCAGAGAGAAUUGAGGUGACAUCAAGAAGUGUAUACAGAUUAACAGUGGUGCAUUUACUGUCACUCACACCAGCACCAGUUAUUCUGUAAACUUCAGGUCUCUGAUUCUCACACCCUACAUGUGGAAACUUCUUUCUUGACAUCUGCCUCUUUUUAAAUAUAUGUUGUCCAGUUUUCUUUUUAGCUUUUUGACAUUUGUCUUUGUAACUUCCUUUCUUCCAGUCUUCACAGACCUGUCUAAGCUCAUUAUAUCACUUCGCACGAGGUGUUGCUCCAACCAUAUACUUGGUGUGUGGCCUUCAGCAGACUGUCCCAUUAGAUAUGCUUGCAUUUGACUAUAAGUCUUUAUUUCAUAUCAUCAAAUGCUCCAAGAAAUACUUCUCUGAACAUCUUUUUCAUGGUUCUCUAAAAUUCCUUAUUUUUGUUCUCCAAAUUGUCUUGAAACCUUAGCAUAUCUUGACCAUAUUUUUGUCUCACAACCACUUCAAUUCUUUCUGCCAUGAAGGAAUAAAGUUAAUAUACCACAUGUAAAUAUUCAAAACAGAUUUUUACAUUAACACUAAGUUUAAUUCAUCCAUGACUUAUGUCCCAUGCACCACAACAAGAGAAACAGUUUUAGCUCUUAUUUUGAAAUCCAUAAUCACUAUUCUAUUUAGGGGAAAGGCUUAAUAUUUAGUUACCUGUCUAUCUGAUUGACUGGUGAGAAUGGAAGUCUACCUAACUUUUUGGGUUCACCUCAGUGGUUCUCAACCAGGGUUUAUAUGACCCUUGGGGGGGGGGGCAGGAGUCCAAAGAAGAUUUUGUUAAAGUUUGGUGCAAUAGGUUGGUUAUACUUCUACAAUAUGUGAAGGUGCAUGGCUGUGGUUAGAGCAUCAGGCUCACAAUUGUGAGGUAGUGAGUUCGAUUCCCAGACCGGACUGCAUGUUAUAUUCUUGAGCAAGACACUUUAUUUCAUGUUGCUCCAAUUCAACCAUGUGUAGAAACGAGUUGCGACGUCACAGGUGCCAAGCUGUAUCGGCCCCUUUGCCUUUCCUUUGGAUAACACUGGUUGUGUAGAGAGGGGAGGCCGGUAUGCAUGGGCGAUUGCCGGUCUUCCAUGAAACAACCUUGCCCAGAUUUGUGCAUUGGAGGGGAAUUUUCUAGGUGCAGUCCCAUGAUCAUUCAUGACUGAAGGGAGUCUUUACCCUUUUUACUUCUACAACAUACGAGAUACUUUAACAAUAUUUUAUACAAUUCCUAAUAAAAUUUAAUUAUAAAAACAGGGUUUUUUAAGUAAGUGGCUAUGGGGGGUCCAUCUGAGUAAAACAAGAAUCAAAAGGUCAAUAAGCAAAAAAAAAAAAAUGGCUGAGAACCACUGAUCUAAGUUGUAGGUCAUCAGGUGGCCAGUUGGUUGCAAAUGUUGAAGUCAAUUGAAUCACAAAACUCCAGUAGACUUGAUCCUUUCUCAUCCUUGUUACUGGAGUGCAGAUGUGGCUAAGAAGUUUGGGAGCUGUACCAGGCUCCAUUAUCUGUUUUUACAGCUUGAUUCUCUUCCUAAUGCCAACCACUUUACAGAGUGUACCAAGAGCUUUUCACAUGGCAACAGCACCAGCGCAGUUUAUGUGGCACCCUCAUUGACAAGGUCACCAAGUACCUUGUAAGACAAGAAGAGGCAAAACCCCCUCAACUGAAAGGGAGGGAACAGUAUUAAGGGGUGUGGCUUUGUGCCAGUUGAAAGAUUGAAAGUACAGAGAUAGUGUCUUGCUGUAGAUACAUGGAUAUCCCAAUUGGAAAAGAAGAGACAGUGAUAGAGAGGAGAGGAUGAUGAAGAUGUGUUUGGACAUGCCCCAGAGCAGUAAUUCUUAAUGUUGGGGAAUACACUCCAUUGGUGGGGGUCCCAAUUUUUUUUUGGUUUUUUAGAGGGACAUGGAAUUGUGAAGAUUCUUUUUCACAGCAAACACACUACACCAAUACUCAGCCAAGCUAGACCGAUCUCUCCAGUCAAGUUUAGUAUAUGAAGACUGUUUGCUACAGCAUAGCACUUUUUUUUUGUAAUCAGUACUAAAUGAAAGAGUUACUGGUAGAUUAUUUUGUAUUAAAUAAUUGUGAUAAAAUAUAAAAUUCUUUUUUUCCAACUACUAGUGCGGUAUACAUUUUUCUGGUAAGUUAUAGUGGAGCUUGGAAGAAAAUAAGUUGGGAAACACAAUCCUUGAGGGACAUUGGAGUAGCGAGAAUAGGUGAGGUGAUAUAGAGGUCUGGACUGGAGAGUGGGUAGGAUAGACAAUUUUCUAAGAGUAAAAUCUUUGUCUAUUAAUGGUCCUAUGUUUUGUUUUUUUUUUACCUCUCUCUCUCUCUUCUAAACAUUUAUCUGUCCUUAAGAUUAAAACAAUUUGGAGUAGUUUUCAAGAUACUGAUAGCAAAAUAUUAUCUAAUCAUCUGGCAAAAAUUAGUUUUUAAUGAAAUAUCAUGGGAUAUAUAUCUGGUUGCUUGUAAAAGCUAGUUUUCUCUACUUUCAUAUCCAAAAGCCUUGGGAACAUACUUUUUUCAGUGGAACCAGCACUUAUUUUCAUAUCAAGAAAAUAAACCAACAAUUCAAUAUAUCAUCUGCAGGAUACAUAUGUGGCACUGACUUGAGCAAGAGAACUAAGCCACCAGACCAUGGAUCAAAGGGUACCAGGCUGCACAGAAAAAAUACAUUCCAUUCCUAUUUAAUUUACUAUUACAGCCUGCAGGGUAUUUUUGCAUUAUAUAUACAUGUAAUUUAGCUUUCAUUUCCUGUUUCAGUCAAUAGGCUGCAGCCAUGCUGGAGCACAACCUUGAUGAAUUCCAGUUGAAUGAAUAAACCCUGAUACUUAUUCUGAUCUCUUUAGUCAAACCACUAAGUUACAGGGACAUAAACACACCAAGAGUGGUUGGUGAGGGACAAAUAGAUACAUACAUGAUUGCUUUCUUGCAAUUUCCAUCCACCAAAUCCACUCAAGGCUGAGACUAUAGUUGAAGAAACUUGUCCAAGGUGCCAUGCAGUGGGACUUAAUCUGGAUCAUGUGAUUAGGAAGCAAGCUUCUUUUUUUUUUUUACCACACCUGUGCUUAUAUAUAUAACUAAAUUAUACAUGUGGUUCCCUGGUCAGUGGAAUAAUUUUCAUGCAUGAAACUGGUUCAUGGACUUGGAUUACUUUAAUAACUUUUUAUGAAAUGGAAACAAUGCAAAGUUAACCGUCAUUUUUUUCUAAUUUUAUUUAAUUAAACAGUAUAUUGCUGAUGUGAUGUACUAAAUGUAUGCAUUUAUCACAGAUAUAGCAUUUUGUACCAUACUUCUUAAUUAAGUUAGCAUUACCAAUUAAUUCCUUUCAAAAUGUUUUGUUAGUCUAACAGUAAUAUUAAGAUUGUUAAAGGGUAGAUAAUCCAGUUGAAUCAAUACACAUUUAUGAAGUUUUAAAAUUUCAACUAUAAAGGAAAAAAAAAAUCUUAGUUUUCAUAAAUGGAAUGAUACACAAGCUUCAAAUAUAAUUCAGAAACUAUUUUAUGGAAUAAUUUAGAGUUGCAAUUUCACAGUAUCAUUCAGUUAUUAAAUUUAUUUAACAUUAUUUACAUUUGACGGAUAUUCGUCCUCAUCUUGUUUGUUGUUAACACGUUUCGGCUGAUAUACCCUCCAGCCUUCGUCGGGUGUGUUGGGGAAAUUUCGAACCUGGGUUCUCAUUCCUAAGGUAUUUUUAGAUAUUAUGAUUCAGAUCACUGCUGAAAUUGAACUCGGAAUCUUGGGGUUAGUAGCCCGUGCUCUUAACCACUACGCCAUGUGCGUAGUGGUUAAGAGUGCAGGCUACUAACACCAAGAUUCCGAGUUCAAUUCCAGGCAGUGACCUGAAUAAUAACAACAUUGAAAAAUCCCUUAGGAAUGAGAACCCAGGUUCGAAAUUUCCCUAACACACCCGAUGAAGGCUGGAGGGUAUAUCAGCCGAAACGUGUUAACAACAAACAAGAUGAGGACGAAUAUCCGUCAAAUGUAAAUAAUUCCUCAUCUCUUAAAUAUAGAACUGAAAUAUAUUUAAGUUUGAAAGCAAUUUAGAUACACAAGAAUUUUUUGUAAAUAUAAAAGCUAGAAACAUAUAAUAAAACAAACAUUUAUAAUAAAUCAAAUAAACGAACACAAACUUUUAUUACAUUUCUUUUUAUUCAUGAACAACUACAAGUCAUAAGUCUAAGAUAACAAGUUAACUUGUGCAUCAUAACAGGGGUGCCCCCACUGAAAUAGUUGGAAGGGAAAAUAACUUAAAAACAACUAAAAUGGAAAAACAAAACCCCAUAAAAGUCAAACUUUUUCAAGCAAGGGACGUGUCCAUCUGCAUUGAGUUGUAUGAGAGAAUGUGUGUAUCAGUGAGUGUAAUGAGUGUGUUCGUCUGGCUAUUAAGGAGACAGGCUAUAUUGUCCAUAUUUGGUCAAACUCACUCAACAAUUGUAUUUAGAAAUACAGUAGCAGGACUGCCAUUGUCCUUAACAGUAAUAAUAAUCACCAUAUACAUAUGUACACACACACACGCACACACAGAACUGGUAUUAAUUUACUAAGGAUAUCUAAAUGUUUAUUUAUAUAUGUAUGUACAUAUAUGUAUAUAUUUAUACAGACACACACAAGCACUCACACACUCAUACACACACAUGAAUAAUAAUAUAAUAAUCUAAUUUUGCCAAUAUAAGGGCAGUAGAAAAAGGUCAUGACAACAAUCAAUUUCAGUGACGGGCUUCCCAUUCAUUAGUGUAACUUUAACCUUUAAAAUAAUUCUCCCAAAUUUACACUGUUUUCCAAGGGACCUCUAAAUGAAUACAGACAACAUCCAUCAUACACUGUAUAAGGCCCAAACAAUAAAAA